UCGCCCGGUGGUUCGAGCGGCGGGGCGGCGGCGUGCGUCGCCGCGGGCGAGGCGCCCCUGUCGAUCGGCACCGACACGGGCGGA
rnacentral:tRNA from 1 species